CUGUCUUUAUGUAGGGCUGGGAAUUGAACCCAGGGCCUCAUGCAUCCUAGAAAAUCUCUCCACCAACUGAGAGGAAGUCUUAGCUUCUUUUGUGUUGAGUUUCCCUGCUUUGCUGUCAGCUGACAAGUUUUAUCUGCUCAGAAUCCUGGGUACACAGAUGUUCAGUCUAUUUGAUUACACCUAAAGACUGGGAGCAGAUAGCUGGGUGGAGGGACAUUUGUGAGUAUCUGCCACUGUUCCCUUGUUCUGUGAGAGGGGUGGAGUACUGCCUGGGACAGAACAGAGAACCACAGAGCCAAGACUUUCCAGCUCAGGACCUCAGUGACCAUUCUACUCUCCUCUCUGAACUCAGCCCUUAGGCUUGCCACCACCACACACUCUCCACGUGAGCUUUACAAUGUUCAUACCUACCCAUGUCUAUGUGUACAGGUAGUUACCUGUGUUUAUAAGCGUGUAUUCCUACAUAAUUAAUCUAGAUUCUUAAUGUAACCUAUUUCUAUUUUGUAAGCAAUUGUAAAAACUAAAAAGAAUAAAAGCAUUGCCUUAGAAGUGUGGGACUUGACAAUUUUUCAUGUUAUGUUUCCCUUUCCACAUCUUUGAAACAGCUUGACAUCGGGUUCUCCUCUCUACACUGUUUGGCUAUUUGUAAUGGACGGUCACUGGCAAGUUCUGUGCAAGCCUCAGUGGUACAGGGGAAGUGGAGCUCAAAGGAGUGGAAGUGGAAUAAAAAGCCUUCUGGGGAUGUCAGUCACACUCACUGUCCUGGGAUGUCCAAUGCUGAGGAUUAGAUCUCUCUAAAGAGGGAAGGAGCUGCUGGCCUUGAGUGUGCCAGUGAGGAACUAAAGACAACAAAGGGGAAUGCAAAUGUCCAAGCAGGUACACUUGGGAGCUAGACUGGAACUAAUUCAUCAAGGCAUUUUCCACACCAGGCUACACACAGAUUAGGGGACAUUAAAAUAUUCGCUAAAGGUGAGUAUUUUUUUCCAAUUUUAAAUCAAUUAUAUAAAAAAUCACAAUAUUUUUCUUUGUUUAUUUUGUAUGUGUGCAUGGUUGCACGUGCAGUGGUAAGUGUGUAAAGGUCAGAGGUCAGUUUGUGGGA
rnacentral:lncRNA from 1 species